rnacentral:rRNA from 1 species
GUGGGGAAUAUUGCACAAUGGGCGAAAGCCUGAUGCAGCAACGCCGCGUGAGUGAUGAAGGUCUUCGGAUUGUAAAGCUCUGUCUUUUGGGACGAUAAUGACGGUACCAAAGGAGGAAGCCACGGCUAACUACGUGCCAGCAGCCGCGGUAAUACGUAGGUGGCGAGCGUUGUCCGGAUUUACUGGGCGUAAAGGGUGCGUAGGCGGAUGUUUAAGUGAGAUGUGAAAUACCCGGGCUUAACUUGGGUGCUGCAUUUCAAACUGGAUAUCUAGAGUGCAGGAGAGGAGAAUGGAAUUCCUAGUGUAGCGGUGAAAUGCGUAGAGAUUAGGAAGAACACCAGUGGCGAAGGCGAUUCUCUGGACUGUAACUGACGCUGAGGCACGAAAGCGUGGGUAGCAAACAGGAUUAGAUACCCUGGUAGUCCACGCCGUAAACGAUGAGUACUAGGUGUAGGAGGUAUCGACCCCUUCUGUGCCGCAGUAAACACAUUAAGUACUCCGCCUGGGAAGUACGAUCGCAAGAUUAAAAC